rnacentral:rRNA from 1 species
GAUGAACGCUGGCGGCGUGCCUAAUACAUGCAAGUCGAGCGAACGGACGAGGAGCUUGCUUCUCUGAUGUUAGCGGCGGACGGGUGAGUAACACGUGGGUAACCUACCUAUAAGACUGGGAUAACUUCGGGAAACCGGAGCUAAUACCGGAUAAUAUUUUGAACCGCAUGGUUCAAAAGUAAAAGAGGGUCUUGCUGUCACUUAUAGAUGGAUCCGCGCUGCAUUAGCUAGUUGGUAAGGUAACGGCUUACCAAGGCAACGAUGCGUAGCCGACCUGAGAGGGUGAUCGGCCACACUGGAACUGAGACACGGUCCAGACUCCUACGGGAGGCAGCAGUAGGGAAUCUUCCGCAAUGGGCGAAAGCCUGACGGAGCAACGCCGCGUGAGUGAUGAAGGUCUUCGGAUCGUAAAACUCUGUUAUUAGGGAAGAACAUAUGUGUAAGUAACUGUGCACAUCUUGACGGUACCUAAUCAGAAAGCCACGGCUAACUACGUG